AAAGAGAUAACCGAGAAUUAGUGGGAGGAUGGGCUUUGAUUAUUUUCAGAAUGGGCUUUUCUUUUAAUUUAUUUUGGGCCUCACCUUUUAAUUGAUAAUGGGCUGUAUUUAAUUAGUUUGGGCUAGAGUUAAUUUUUAUUUGGACUGCUAUUAUUAUUUUUGGCUUAAAAUCAGGCCCAAUUUAAGGGUAGUCUAGAUUAAUCUAUUAAUUAAAUUGAGCUAAUUAUAAUUAUUGAUUAAUU
rnacentral:lncRNA from 1 species